GACGAACGCUGGCGGCGUGCUUAACACAUGCAAGUCGAACGGAAAGGCCCUGCUUUUGUGGGGUGCUCGAGUGGCGAACGGGUGAGUAACACGUGAGUAACCUUCCCUUGACUUUUGGAUAACUUCAGGAAACUGGUGCUAAUACCGGAUAGGAGCUCCCGCUGCAUGGUGGGGGUUGGAAAGUUUCGGCGGUUGGGGAUGGACUCGCGGCUUAUCAGCUUGUUGUUGGGGUAUUGGCUUACCAAGGCUUUGACGGGUAGCCGGCCUGAGAGGGUGACCGGCAACAUUGGGACAGAGAUACGGCCCAGACUCAUAAGGGAGGCAGGAGUGGGGAAUAUUGCACAAUGGGCGGAAGACUGAUGCAGCAACGCCGCGUGCGGGAUGACGGCCUUCGGGUGGUAAACCGCUUUCGCCUGUGACGAAGCGUGAGUGACGGUAAUGGGUAAAGAAGCACCGGCUAACUACGU
rnacentral:rRNA from 1 species